rnacentral:lncRNA from 1 species
UUCCGCCCCUUAUAGAAUCGAUUAUUGAUGGGAAGAUAUUAUUUAACUAUCCAAAAUAUUAUUUAAUUAUUUUCAGAAUUAUUUUCUUUCAAUGUUUAUUCAAAUAGAACUUAAACCCAUCUCAGAAUUUUUAAAUGCUUGAUGACGUCACAUUUAAAACGUGGCAACAUUGGUUUCCCCACUUUGACAGCCAAUGCUUAGUAGAGGGGUACGAAGGAUUCAGCUGUGAACGUGAGCCUUGGAUUGCCAUUGUUUCUCGAGUGUUCGGUCUGAAUCGUAGUGUGCGGGGUCAUUAGACUCAAUUAUUCACCUCUAAUUCUCAGUUCCAAAUUGAUUAAAUAUUACAAUAAAAGUAUAGUGAAGUUAUCCAGCAGCAGUGGAUUUGAAGAAUUUUAGAGCAUACUAUAUCCAAUGAGUUCUACCCCGCACCUACCAUGAAAUCUUAAAGCCACCCUACAACAACACCAAGGCCAGACCACACAGAGAGAAACAAUCAAUAGGCGACCAGCCUGGAUUAUUUCCACAUUUUCUUUUUUUGAGUACCUCCAGCUGCUUUCCAACAGUUUUGAGUACCUUCAGCUGCUUUCUACCAGUCUUCCUCUCCUGUACCUCCAGCAGGACAGCUGCUAGCGAGAGUUAGCACCCUUGGGUGCUCAUUACAUCAACUUCAAGAUUAGGAAAGAGUGGUUUGUUUGGGAACAUUUACUGUGCUCUUAUUAAAGACAGACUGGUUUUGUGAUAUUUAGUACAUUUUUUUUUAUAGUUCAAUUGCACACACAUUUUUCCUGCUUUAUAUUUUUUAUAGGUUUUUUUUUCUUUACAACAUAAUAUUUAAUUGAUAGCGUUCCCCAACACUCUGCAAUCUAUAAAGGUAUAAAUUUCUGAGCUCAGAUAUUUUCCCUGAUAAUAGUAGUCGGUACUCUUAUCUUGAUUAUUUUUAGGCUGUGUUCCACUUUUGUAUAAUUAUUUAAACUCAUUCCAUUAUUUUAGUAUAUGUUUAAUUAAAUUUUUAAAAAUUAACUUCACAUAUUAGUCAAAAUUGUAAUUAUUAACUUUAUUUAACUUGAACUUAUUAACUUUACUUAACUUUAACUUAUUAACUUUAUUUAACUUUAACUUUAAUUUAUUAAAUUCAUAUGAACUUCUGGAUUCUAAUCCCUCAGAUUAGUUUUUGGUUUCACUUGUUAUUAUUACUAUUAUAAACCACGAGUUAGGAAAAGGAUCUGUGUAUCCACUCGUAGGUUUAUUUAUUCAAUAAGGCUUGUGCCUGUCCCACUCACAGUGAGGUAUUUAUAUGUUAUAUAUAGUAUCAGGUAGUAUUUAAUUAAGGUGUACGUAUUAUAAACGUACAAUUAUUAUUUGGUGAGGGUUCUACUAACCUAGUUGUAAGUUGUACUUCCUGUAUUAGAGGUACCCGUAGUCAGUUUUUCUAACCUUAUAAAGAGUAUUCUUAGAUCAUAGUUGUAUGAUGAUUUUGUAAUUGACUUUCACUAGUAUCACUUUUUCCUGUCAUGUUAGAGUUACACACUAGUUACUUGUCCUAACUCAGAGAUUGUUAAAAAGAUCUAGUAGUUACAUUCAAUAAAUAUACAUUUAUUGU